rnacentral:rRNA from 1 species
UCGCACGGGGUUAGCAAUACCCAGCUGGCGAACGGGUGCGUAACACGUGAGGAACAUACCUAUCGGCGGGGGAUAGCCGGCCCAACGGCCGGGUAAUACCGCGUACGCUCUCCGGGGGGCAUCUCCUGGGGAGGAAAGCAGCAAUGCACCGAUAGAGUGCCUCGCGGCCUAUCAGCUAGUUGGUGAGGUAACGGCUCACCAAGGCGACGACGGGUAGCUGGUCUGAGAGGAUGAUCAGCCACAUUGGGACUGAGACACGGCCCAUACUCCUACGGGAGGCAGCAGUGGGGAAUCUUGCGCAAUGGGCGAAAGCCUGACGCAGCGACGCCGCGUGUGGUAUGAACGUCUUCGGAUCGUAAACCACUGUCGCGAGGGACGAAUACAUUGACGGUACCUCAAAAGGAAGCACCGGCUAACUCUGUGCCAUCAGCCGCGGUAAUACAGAGGGUGCGAGCGUUGUCCGGAAUCACUGGGCGUAAAGGGCGCGUAGGUGGCUCUGUAAGUCGGGGGUGAAAUGCUG